GGACGCACGAAAGCAAAGCUGUCUCAUUAAGACCUAUAAAAAUUACCCUCUAGGCGAAAAGGCCUAGAUCACAAAAAAAGACAAGAAGACCCUGUAGAGCUUUACUCCCUCCGUGCCACUACCAAUAAUUUUAUACACCAACACACACUAUAGGAGUUUGGUUGGGGCGACAAAGGACCACCAAAAACAUCCUGACCCCUAACGACCCCUACGUCUCCUAACGAGCCACCUCCCGUGAUCAGAAAACAUAGCUACCUCAGGGAUAACAGACUAAUCCCCCUUAAGAGCCCAAAUUGACAGGGGGGCUUAGCACCUCGAUGUUGGCUUAGGACCGCCCUUCAAGCGCAGAAGCUUUUAUGGCAGGUUUGUUCACCCUUUAAUAUCCU
rnacentral:rRNA from 1 species